UACGUAGGGGGCAAGCGUUGUCCGGAAUUAUUGGGCGUAAAGAGCGUGUAGGCGGUCCGGUAAGUCGGCUGUGAAAGUCCAGGGCUCAACCCUGGGAUGCCGGUCGAUACUGCCGGACUAGAGUUCGGAAGAGGCGAGUGGAAUUCCCGGUGUAGCGGUGAAAUGCGCAGAUAUCGGGAGGAACACCUAUGGCGAAGGCAGCUCGCUGGGACGUUACUGACGCUGAGAAGCGAAAGCAUGGGGAGCGAACAGG
rnacentral:rRNA from 1 species